UACGUAGGGUGCAAGCGUUGUCCGGAAUUAUUGGGCGUAAAGAGCUCGUAGGCGGUCUGUCACGUCGGAUGUGAAAACUCGGGGCUCAACCCCGAGCCUGCAUACGAUACGGGCAGACUUGAGUCCGGCAGGGGAGACUGGAAUUCCUGGUGUAGCGGUGAAAUGCGCAGAUAUCAGGAGGAACACCGGUGGCGAAGGCGGGUCUCUGGGCCGAUACUGACGCUGAGGAGCGAAAGUGUGGGGAGCGAACAGG
rnacentral:rRNA from 1 species